GAUGAACGCUGGCGGCGUGCCUAAUACAUGCAAGUCGAACGGACAGACGAUGAUCUUGCGGCUCUGAUGUGAGCGGCGGGCGGGUGAGUAACACGUGUAUAACCUACCUAUAAGACUGAGAUAACGUCGAGAAACCGGAGCUAAUACCGGAUGAUAUUUUGAACCGCAUGGUUGAAAAGUGAAAUACGGUCUUGCUGUCACUUAUAGAUGGAUCCGCGCUGCAUUAGCUAGUUGGUACGGUAAUGGCUUACCAAGGCAAGGAUGCAUAGCCGACCUGAGAGGGGGAUAGGCCACACUGGAACUGAGCCACGGUCCAGACUCCUAAGGGAGGCACCAGUAGGGAAUGUUCCGCAAUGGGCGAAAGCCUGACGGAGCAACGCGGCGCGAGUGAUGAAGGUCUUCGGAUCGUAAAACUCUGUUAUUAGUGAAGAACAUAUUUGUAAGUAACUGUGCACAUCUUGACGGUACCUAAUCAGAAAGCCCCGGCUAACUACGUG
rnacentral:rRNA from 1 species